UACGUAGGGUGCAAGCGUUAAUCGGAAUUACUGGGCGUAAAGCGUGCGCAGGCGGUUAUGUAAGACAGUUGUGAAAUCCCCGGGCUCAACCUGGGAACUGCAUUUGUGACUGCACGGCUAGAGUGUGUCAGAGGGGGGUAGAAUUCCACGUGUAGCAGUGAAAUGCGUAGAUAUGUGGAGGAAUACCGAUGGCGAAGGCAGCCCCCUGGGAUAACACUGACGCUCAUGCACGAAAGCGUGGGGAGCAAACAGG
rnacentral:rRNA from 1 species